rnacentral:lncRNA from 1 species
UUUAUUUAUUUAUUUAUUUAUUUAUUUAUUUGAGAGAGAGAGAGAGAGGCAGAGGGAGAAGCAGACUCCCUGCUGAGCAUGGAACCCAACAUGGGGCUCAAUCCCAGGACUCUGAGAUCACGACCUGAGCCACCCAGGUACCUCACAAUUUCUUUUUAAGAUUCUAUUUAUUUAUUUGAGAGAGAGAGAGAGAGAUAGAGUGAGCAAAUGGGGGAUGGGGCAGAGGGAGAGAGAAUUUCAAGCAGAUUUCCCGCUGAGUGCAGAGCCCAAUGCGGGGCUUGAUCCCACGACCCUGAGAUCAUGACCUGAGUUAAAAUCAAAAGUUGGAUGCUUAACCAACUGAGCCAUCUAGAUGCCUCUUGAUGUGAAGAUUUGUUAAUGUCCCUUUUAAUGCUGAGGUUUCUAUGAUUCUGCUUCCAUGUUUUAGCCAUGUAUCUUCCUCUCUUACAUCCUUUGAGUACUUGCUGACAUGUUCCAGAUCUUCUUGGCAAAUACUGUGUCCCAGACGCUCCUGGAGGGACAGGGACACAAGGCCUCCUUCCCUCUGUAUCUCCUUGCAAAGGCUCAAGACCAUGCCCCAGAACUUCCCAUCAAUGCAGUGUUCAUUAAUUCAUGUUUGGAGGCCUUCCUGCACUCCAAAUCAUAGCAGCAUGAGAUAAAAUGUGAGAUGAGAAAGAUACAAAGACAUAGUUCUGAUUUCUCAAAACCAGGUAAGCCCCUCUGAGGACCUGAGGUAACACAGAAAGACAAGAGAGUAAAUAGGUGGCAAUUCAACUCUUGUAGGAGAGAGGGGCCUAAAGGUACCCCAAAGAGGCAAAAUAGUUAGAUCCAGAGUCAGGGUCUGAAACCAGGAGUUGGGAUGGGGCUUUCCUACCCAUGAAAUGAGGUGGGAAAUAAUUCUCAAUUCUGCUUAAGGCCCUGUUUUAUUGGAGGGGAAGGCUGAAAUAGUAUAGCCUUGCAGCCAGGGUCUGGGCCCAGCUGCCCACUGGCUCAGGACAGGAGACCCAAGCCACAAACAACAGGCCUGGGCCUAGACAAGAUUCCUGGGACACUGCUGGGGAAAAAAACCCAAAUCUCCCCCAAAAACAAACAACCCCCCCCUCCCAAAACACCAACAAACCAACCUGUUAAACAGACAGGUACAUGCAAAGAGAGAGACAUAUAACAAAACUCCUUUCCAAAUGAGCUUGCAAACAAAGUUCCAACCCCUCCAAAAAAUAGCCUAAAUAAUCAACCAUCAGUAAACAAAUUUAUCCAAAUGAAAUGAAAAUAACAGAGGUCUGAAAACAAAUUUAGGAUAUACAUGCUCAGGUAAAGGAGGUAAGAGGGGUAAAAGAAGAAAUAGCAAUUAGGUUUUUUAAAUUACAAAAAAGGAAGAAAUAGAUCAAGAGAUAUAAAACUAAAAUCUUGGAAAUAAAAAUAUCACUGAUGAAAUUUAAAUAAUUAAUAGAAUAAGUUCUACAUGGGAUACGGUUCAAGAGAAAAGUGAUAAAUUGUAAGAUAGCACCAAGGUAUUUGCUCAGAAUGCAGCAUAGACAGAAAAAGAAACUUUAUUUAGAUAUAUGAAGUUUACAAGACCUUGAGGAUAUCUUGAGAGGCUCAAACGUAUAUUUAGUAGAAGCUCCAUAAAAAAAGAAUGAGAGUUAUAAGAGGAAAAAACAUUCCAAGAGACGAUGAUGGGGAUUUUCCAAAAUUGAAGAGAGAUAGCUUCACAGAUGGAACGAUGGCCCUGAGUAUAGACCAGGAUAAAGAAAACACCGUGACACACAUCAUAGUGAAACUGCAGAUCAUCAAGAAGAGGAAAAUCAUGAAAAGCUCCCGGAGCCUGCCCAGUAGAGCUCAGAAAAGGAACACUCAGGGAAGCUCAGGAUGAGGAGCUGUAACUUCUCUUUCACUCAUUUCUAGAACAAGGAGCAAGAUUGGCCCUCAACACCAGGCAGGAGCUGCAGCUAUCAUCCAAUUUAGCCCAGCCUGGUACACAGGGAAGCAACCACAUCCCUGCAGGCCUGGGGAAACUGAGUCUGCCACCUUCCUCCUGCUGGUCCCAAUUCAACAAGUGCUUUACCAAAGCUCUCAAAGAUCCAUGGGAACUCUUUCGGGCAUUUACAAUGAUCAUGGAGUCCUGAACUUCUUUCUGUCACUGAAAUAAUCCCUGGUUCCCAGAGAAACAGGUCUUUGGGAAGGUAGUGGAUCCCUUCUCUUGCUAUUGCCAAUUGUUGUUUUUCUUUACUGUGUAACUGUUUGCUCCCACAGUAUGUCACUCUGGAAAAAAAUAUGGAAGUGGGGCUUUCACAUGUUUGAGAGAGAGCAAACUCCUGUUGGAAAAAAUGAAAUCUCCUACCUGGAGCCCCAAGGCUGAGUCAAACUUUCCACUGAAUCAAGAUCUCUGCUUGCAACUUGAGAGGCAAAAUUAAGUUGUAAUAUUCCAGCAAAUAGCUAUAGCCAUUCAGAAUGCUACUCCUGGCUCUUUGGCUGGAUCGCAAACCAAUGCAGAGGCAAAUUUAAUUACCUGUCAGGAACUAAAUAAAAGGUUUGCUUCAUCUGAUACUCCCAGUGUGUAGGACCGCUAUGAAAACAAGCCUGACGCUCAAUCGAUUUGCUGUUUACAGAGGCCCAAAGAGGCGCCCAGACACACCAGUGGGCUGCUUGAAGCUUUUGGAAGCUUAAAUAUUUUUUAAUGCACUUGCCCACUGUUCCCUCUUCCUAAGCUUGGCUCAAAACCACUGUCCACUCCCAAGAGCUCUUGCAUCUAUUCCUAAAAAACAUCCCAUAAACUUCCCUUUCAAAAUGGCUGGUAAGGCCAGACCCAUCCCAUUAGCUUUUCCACACGAGAAGGCUCAUCUCUCCCAGAGAGGGGCUUGUUUUCUGGGAUUGGCUGCCUAUCCAUCAAGACCUCCAUGCUGCCCCAGCAGCAUCAUCCAUCAGUGAGUCAUGGGAGAAAGAGUAUUUUGGCACCAAGAGGCUCUGGCAUGCUAAGCUAAGUUCACAUUUAUUGCUGUAACCUCAGUUUGUCCAACUGCAGCAUGGGGAAACCUGCCCUAAGAUUCGCAGGGUUGUAGCAAAGCUAAAUGUGAGGAUGGGUAUUAAAAACCUGGACCAAUGUACAGAGGUGUCCUUUCUGAUGAAUACAUAUUAUUUUAUUGCCUGGAUUUGGAGGGCCAGAAGGCAGGGAAGGAGCAAUUUCUAUCUUUGUGGAAGUUGGAAAUGGAGGCUGUAGCAGCACACUGAAAACAGAAAAGGGGGCAGACAGAGCGCAGAGCAGAGCCUGUGCUAUGAGCAGUGCAGGAGAGGCCACAACUAUGGAGCCUCCAGGGCCUCGCAGAAAGCAGUCAGCCCACAGGCUACUGGGACAGCCCACUCCAUUAUUGUACCAUUAGGGCUUCUGCUGACUGCUCCCCUCAGAGCCUGGAGGACUUUAGGGAAUGAAAUGGGCUCAAGUGCCCUCACUGUAGCUUCAGGGGGGUGUGAAAGAGAGGGCAGCCUGGAGCUGCUCCAGAGACUACAAACCUAGGCCAGGUGGGCACAUUUUUCAGUCUAAGGGCUCCAGAUUCGGUAUGAAGGCCUAGACUUGCAAGGACUGGGUUAAAGCAGAAUCCUACCCUCUCCCCGCACCAUCUAUCCCUCACUCCUGACACCCGGGCACUACCUCCACCUCUGGCAGGGCUCCUGGGACCAGAGGUGCUCAUGCUUUUCUCUAGACCCCUUACCACCACUUCUCUCCUACUGUGUUUCCAGACAGGCCCUGGCAAGUGCUUGGCACAUCCUCGUUGGGACCAAAGUCUGCCACUCAGUCACCUCUGCUAGCCCUUCUGUCAUUGGAGGGAUCACAUAGGGGUCCCAUCUUCCUGCUUUUGCACUCUGUCUCCUACAGAUCAAAGUACACCUCCUUCAGGAAGAGCUUCUCAACCUCCUUGAUCUCCAGAGAACCUUCCCCCACCUCUGCCCCUGCAUGGAGCAAAUAGGCAAGCCCCCUGACAUCUAUCUCUUCAGCUGUCACACUCUUUUGAUAGUAACUCCAGAGGGGAAGAGGCUCAGGCCAGCUCCACAGGUCUGCAGCCAUGCCUCCUUGCCCAUUUCCACCUCCAGAGACCUACCAGCACCUGGCAGGGAGUUGGGGUCAGAUGGAUGGCACUGUGGACCCCACCAAUCACCAAAGAAAUGUCCUACUCCCAAAGCCCUACAAGGGGCUGAGAAUAGAGUCACUCCUCACCUGGCCAGAGGCAGGGAGGCCUGCUUCCCCAGCACAGCUGGCCUUUAAGCUGAUGGUGGAACAGGUAACAGCUCCUACAGAUCCUUCUUUGGAGAACAGGAAAAGAAAUAUGCUCCCUGCCACAUCUUUAAUGAUCUGAUUAUCAGGAAGGCACCACAUUUUAAAUUUCUCUCCAUAGUGCGUGUGUGUGUGUGUUUCUAGGCAGUGCUAAUAAAAUCUCUAACCCACGUGGCAGCCCCACUGCUCAUCAACUAUCAGCUGCCCUCAGGCUGCACCAGUCUGUUUAUAUUAUAAAUAAAGUCUGAAAUACGCUGCUUGCUCAGUGCAGGCUCCUCAAGGGGCCAUGGAGGAGAGGGGGAGCUGAACCAGCCCCUCCCUGCUCCCUCCUACCCUUGCUGGGGGAAGGAUGGCCCAACAGAGGCUUUGCCUGAGGCCAGCUCCUUUGGACGUUAACAAACCACUACAAGGAUCUGCGAUCCAUCCCAGGAAUCCCGGUUUAAUUAUUUAGGAAGAACGCUUUUGCUCCCCUGAAGCUCUGCGGCUCCCCAGAGCCAGUGGAAUCAUUGUUCAAUGCUUAUUACUGCCGCGGGCCCCUGGGUACAGUGUGGCAGAGACCUCAUUUCAAUAUUUACCACUUAGAUCACUUAAGGGCUGUCAGCUUUAAUAACAUUUUAUCAAUUGGAUACUUAUAUUAUUCACGGCUUCAUAAAAAUAACAAGACCUGCCUUGGCAUUUCAAUCAUACCCGGGCUAAUUUCAGUGACUGCUCAGGGAUUUCGUUUUUAUUAACAUUUAGAUACGACGUGACUGCUUCUCUUCCUGAAUGCACAGUGUCUGAGGUGGCCGCUGGGCAGGCUGUGGGGGGUGGGCCACACAGAUCUCUGCCCUGGGCAUGUGGGCAAGGGGCGGGUACACGGGCAACACACCAACAGGCUGGGCAGACACCCUCCCCAGUGAUGACUCGUUCGUGGUGGGUGGGGUGGCUCACUGCUCCUGCCCCUGACAACUUGGUUCCCACCUCACCUCCUCCUGCCCUGCCCAGGCUGCAGCCACAGGGAACCAUCUCUGGGGCUCCAGAAGGCACCCUUCUCUUCUGCAGGGCUUGGUCUGGAAAGCUUUUGCUCCGUCCUCCACCAAUAGAGCUUCCUGCAAGCCCUCUAGGCUCACCUACAAGGCCUCCCCUACUUCCCAAGAGCUCGGGGCGCAGUCAGUGCUUGGGGUGUCUGUGAGUGGCUGGUGCUUCCUGGCCCUUCCCGUCUCCUGGCUGAUUUCCAUGUCCUCUUCUCCCACAGGGGUCACAACCCUUUUCCCCUCUGGUAUCCUGAGAAACCAGAAGAGCUGGGCAUAAGCCUCCAGACUUUUCCUUGCAAAUGCUUUUUUGUACCUGUCUCAAAGGUGCUUGCUGUUGCUGGUAACUGCAGGACUUGUGCUAGUUGCUCACCUUGGCAACCACCCCCAGAGAUGUCAUGGUUUUUGAGGAAACACCACCUUGGCAGUGGCUGCCCCAUCUUCGGUGGCUCUUGGCUCCUAUGGCUGCCUCUCCUUGCUGCCCCCAGGCCUUCUCUUCUUCUUUAGACCCUGGGGCCCCUCAGUUCCACUGUUGUGGCAGCCUCUGCCCCUUCCAUUCCAUUCUUUUCACAGAUGCCACAGUCCUUCAGCGUCACCCUCCUCAUUUCAACCCAUCAGUAGAUUUUACUGCUCUCAGAACCCCAGCCCGAGUCUUCCCUCUCACAUGAGCCAGUCCCUGCCCUGGCUCUCUGGCCUCCCCAUGCAACCCUUCCCUGGCUCACAGCCCUCUGGCCACUCUGGCUAUUCGAUCCACCAAGCCUUUUUCUUCCUCAGAGCCUACAAUUUCCCAUCUGCCCUGGAAUGCCCUUCCCACUGCUCCUCACAUGACUAACUAGUCUCUGCUUUCAUGUCACCAAGAGAGACCUGCCAUGAUGCUCUCUCUAACAUUUUCUCCUUCCAGCCUGGUCUUUCUCUCUCGUGGUCGCCUUUGCUACCUCUAGGGGGCUGAUCACAAUAUGCAAUGAUUAAUAAAACUUUCUUUUAAACAAAGGUUGGUUUGAUUUGCUCCAUUAGCUUGGAGAGUAUAACUGACACAUAGCUGUUUAAUAAAAAAAUAUUGAAUGGAUGGAAU